rnacentral:tRNA from 1 species
GAAAUAAGAAAUUCAAAAUUAAGCUUCUAACUUAUAUUUUUAGUGGUGUAAUUCCAUUAUUAUUUCU